AGAGUUUGAUCCUGGCUCAGAAUGAACGCUGGCGGCAUGCCUAACACAUGCAAGUCGAACGAGACCUUCGGGUCUAGUGGCGCACGGGUGCGUAACGCGUGGGAAUCUACCCUUGGGUUCGGAAUAACUCAGAGAAAUUUGAGCUAAUACCGGAUGAUGACGUAAGUCCAAAGAUUUAUCGCCCAAGGAUGAGCCCGCGUAGGAUUAGCUUGUUGGUGAGGUAAAAGCUCACCAAGGCGACGAUCCUUAGCUGGUCUGAGAGGAUGAUCAGCCACACUGGGACUGAGACACGGCCCAGACUCCUACGGGAGGCAGCAGUGGGGAAUAUUGGACAAUGGGCGAAAGCCUGAUCCAGCAAUGCCGCGUGAGUGAUGAAGGCCUUAGGGUUGUAAAGCUCUUUUACCCGGGAAGAUAAUGACUGUACCGGAGAAUAGCCUGAUUCCCCG
rnacentral:rRNA from 1 species